rnacentral:lncRNA from 1 species
UCUCAAUGAUAUCAAUAUGCAUAUAGUGUUAAGUAGUAGCACAAAAUUGAGAUCAAGAUUAAGGAACUGAACUGAGAUUUAUGAUUACUAAUUCAUAUCAUGCUUCAUAAUAUCUUCACAGGUUUGUUUUCUCAGAGAAAUAAAAAUGAAAUCAUUAAUCAAGAUUCAGAGUUUACAAACAUCAGAGAAUAUCGUCAGAGAAUGACGAUCAGAGAAUGUCAUCAGAGUAUAGCACACAGAGUAUAU